rnacentral:misc_RNA from 1 species
AUUGUUGAGUAUGCUCCUUCACAGCGUGUUCCACAACACUGGUCCAAGAAGGAUGGCCGUGAAGGAACCAUCUUGAAAGAUCCUGAAUAUCUGGAGUUCCUUGAAUUUAUCUCAAAACCUAUUGAGAAUCUUCCGAGUGCAGAAAUACAGUUGGAAAGAAAGGAAGCUGAACGCGCGGGUUCUGCAAAGGAUGCUCCUAUAGUUACUCCUUUGAUGGAUUACAUACGUCAGAAAAGAGCCGCCAAGAGUGGAGCUCGGAAAUCUAUAGCUAAUGGAAGACCAACCAGAAGAGCGAGUGGCACAUCCGCAGGAAGUCCUAGCUCAAGUGCGUCUAAACGAAGCUCUGAAAAGAGACGGGCUUCCACUACCAUGUAUGUUCUUCGAGAUAGUUCUAAGGCUGGGAGUGGCAAAGACAAAACAUAUAUUCUAGCUCCAAAACGUGAUGAUCAGCAGCGUGCUGAGAAGUCUGGUACCUCUGCUCCUGGAUCUGUGGCUAAUGCAGUUGAAGAGGAAACUGGUGGAGCUGCCGAUGUUGGGAAGAAGAAAAUCCUGCUCUUGAAGGAAAAGGAAAAAGAAAAUCCUAAUAACCAGCGUCGUGAGGCAAGUGGAAGAAUCAUUAGAAGUAUUCUUCUCAAGGAUGCUCGUCAAAAUCAGGCCCCAUCUGCAUCCCAACAAGAAAAACACAGGGUGGAUAAGGACAAAAAGCCUCCUAGGCCACCAAGUGUCCAGUUGUUUCAGAGAGAAACUAAUGGAGCUAAUGAAGAUAGGGUUCUUGGAGCUGAUUUGCAUGUUGUCCACACUGAGAAACAGGAAAAACGCACUAGGAUCAGGGAUAGGCCGGAUCGUGGUGUUUGGACUCCUCUUCGUCGUUCUGAUAGUUUACAUGCUAGUGAUGAAUCUUUAUCUUCAUCUGCCUCUCAAUCUUCCGAAGUGCCAGAUUUUGUUGAAGGAAGUCCAGGUGAAACCAAACAUGGUCUGGUAAAUGCUCGUGUUGCGGAGUUCAGACCCAUGGGAAGUGGACGUAAUUCUCAUUCUUCUUUUGAUAAUGGUACUUAUAAACAUGGUGGUCGUCGUGGUAUGAGGGACGAUGGAAUUUCAGUAGGGGAAGGAAAGCCCUUAAGAAGGGGAGGUCCUUCUAGCUAUAAUACCCAUGAGAAACAAGUGUGGGUCCAAAAGUCAAGUUCUGGUACUUAGUUAUUUCUCUAACGCGAAAUACUUGGUUUUUACCAUAUAAGGUGCAUGUCUAGUGGCUGGAGCUCUCUUUGUUGACACAUCAUGUAUGAGCAAAGUUGAUGGAGCAAAGAUAAGGAUUUGAAGGCCUUGAUGGAAUUUUUGACUUGCCAGGGUGAUCUAAAAACUGGUAUAUACUGCUAAAGUAGCAUUGAACUUACUAAAUCUAAGAUGGUUGGAGUAGGAGCAAGAAGGAAGAAAGUCGUGUCAGUGACAUAUAUACACCACAAUUUUCAGCUGGUGUACCUUAUGGGAUCUUUUUGUCGGAGCUGUGGGUAUCCUUGUUCCUGUGAUCGGCUCAUUAUCAAAUAAUAUAGUUCUAUAGAUGGAAGAUUUCCUUUGUUAAAACUGUAAAUACAAAUGUGGAAUUGUGUGAAGAGUGCGCCCAUUAAUCCUACACAUAUGCUGAUUACACCAUGUUAGUUCUAAUCUUGACUGAUUGAAGAUUGUCAAAGAAGGAAAGCUUGGAGUAUGCUCUGCCAUCUUUGUGGAGGCUUAUUAUAGUCGCGUCUAAGCAGGUGGUAUUGCCAAGGCAUUGAACAGAUGGAUUCACUUGUUUUUUUUUGGUCUGGAUUUUGGGGUAUGCUUGUGUAAAGUGUGUUUGCUGAAAUGAAAGAGCAUCUUGAUCUGUCUGUCUAAAAAGAGUUGGUUCAGUUUAUGUGUAUACGGUUGUAGAUUAAUUUUUGUUGUACUUUUCUGGGGUACUUUCCUCUUGUUUGUUUCGUCUC